AUUGAACGCUGGCGGCAGGCCUAACACAUGCAAGUCGAACGAGUGGCGGACGGGUGAGAAAUGUCUGGGAAACUGCCUGAUGGAGGGGGAUAACUACUGGAAACGGUAGCUAAUACCGCAUACCAUCGGAUGAGCCCCGAUGGGAUUGGCUAGUAGGUGGGGUAAAGGCUGACCUAGCAGACGAUCCCUAGCUGGUCUGAGCGGAUGACCAGCCACACUGGAACUGAGACACGGUCCAGACGCCUACGGGAGGCAGCAGUGGGGAAUAUUGCACAAUGGGCGAAAGCCUGAGGCAGCCAUGCCGCGUGUAUGAAGAAGGCCUUCGGGUUGUAAAGUACUUUCAGCGGGGAGGCGUUACCCGCAGAAGAAGCACCGGCUAACUCCGUGCCAGCAGCCGCGGUAAUUC
rnacentral:rRNA from 1 species